rnacentral:rRNA from 1 species
CUACGGGACGCAGCAGUGGGGAAUAUUGCACAAUGGAGGAAACUCUGAUGCAGCAACGCCGCGUGGAGGAUGACACUUUUCGGAGCGUAAACUCCUUUUAUAUAGGAAGAAGAUGACGGUACUAUAUGAAUAAGCGCCGGCUAACUCCGUGCCAGCAGCCGCGGUAAUACGGAGGGCGCAAGCGUUACUCGGAAUCACUGGGCGUAAAGAGCGUGUAGGCGGAUUAAAAAGUCAGAAGUGAAAUCCUAUAGCUUAACUAUAGAACUGCUUCUGAAACUCUUAAUCUAGAAUGUGGGAGAGGUAGAUGGAAUUUCUGGUGUAGGGGUAAAAUCAGUAGAGAUCAGAAGGAAUACCGAUUGCGAAGGCGAUCUACUGGAACAUUACUGACGCUGAGACGCGAAAGCGUGGGGAGCAAACAGGAUUAGAUACCCCCGUAGUC